AAAUAAAUUAGAAACAUUAGAAUUUGCUAUCUCUCUGAGAUUCUCUGUGAUCGAUGGCAAUGGCGGACAAUGGGCGAGUGGUGUGCAAAUGCACGGCAGCCAGGAGGAGCUUCUUCUGCUUCAGAGAAGUCAGCUUCGAUGACAAGCCCAACCGCCGAAACCACCUCCGGAACGUUUCAGCCGUUCCCGUCUUUAAAAACGGCAUCUUCACUCGCUGCAGCCCAUCUGUCGCCGGAAACAGCAUUCUCAGUAUGGAUGCACGUGAGAAUCCGAGGUCCUCGAUAUUGCCAUCAUCCCGAGAUAAGAGAAUUCCCAUAUAUGUGAUGAUGCCUGUUGAUGCUUUCUGCAUUGAUGGUUCGGGGCGUCCAAGGAUUAGGAAAAUCAAGGCCUUAACUGUAGCUCUUAAAGCACUCAAGUUGGCAGGCGUCCACGGAAUUGCAGUUGAGGUUUGGUGGGGAAUCGUAGAGCGUUUCUCUCCUCUUGCAUAUGAUUGGUCUCUAUACGAAGAGCUUUUCAAACUGAUUUCUGAGUCAGGUUUGAAGUUGCAUGUUGCCUUGUCUUUUCAUUCAAAUGUUAACUCUUCUUCUAGCAGAAAAGGAGGUGUAAGUCUUCCGCUAUGGAUCGUAGAGAUCGGUGAUCAGAAUAAGCAUAUAUAUUAUCGCGAUCAAAAUGGGUAUUCCAAUGAUGAUUAUCUUACACUCGGAGUUGAUCAUGUUCCUCUCUUUUGUGGCCGGACUGCCCUCCAAUGUUAUGAAGAUUUCAUGUCAAAUUUUGCUAAGAAAUUUGAAUCUUUUAUCGGAACUGUGAUAGAAGAAAUUAGUGUUGGCCUUGGUCCUUCUGGUGAACUUAGAUAUCCUGCACAUCCUUUUGGUGAUGGUAGAUGGAAGUUUCCUGGAAUCGGUGAAUUCCAAUGCUAUGACAAGUACAUGAUGGAUGACCUAAAGAUGGCUGCACGCAAGGAAGGAAAGCCUCAGUGGGGAGAGAGGGGACCACAAAAUGCUGGCUGCUACAACAGUCUCCCAUCUGAAGUUCCUUUCUUUGAAGAGGGAGAGGAAAGCUUUCUUUCUGAUUAUGGGUGUUUUUUCCUUGAAUGGUACAGUGGUAGGUUGCUCCGUCAUGCAGAUGAUAUUCUUGCAAAGGCAGCCAACAUUCUGAAGAAAUAUCAAGAAAACAAGCAAACUAAUAUUCUAUUGGCGGCUAAAAUUGGUGGAAUAUAUUGGUGGUACCAGACAGUAUCACACCCUGCUGAACUUACAGCUGGAUACUACAACACUGCUCUUAGAGAUGGUUAUGAUCCUGUUGCUUCAAUUUUGUCUCGUCAUGGAGCUGCUUUGCAUGUUUCGUAAGAUUCUAAGUUUUAAGCUGCUUAGAAAUGACAGAUGGUGAUAAUCCGGCAUCCUAUCUUUGCAGCCCAGAAGGAUUACUCCAGCAGAUAUGGACUGUUUCAAAGAAAAGGAUACAUUUGAUCGGGAGAAAUACCCAUGAACGAUUUGACAGGGUUGGUUUAUGGCAAAUACAUGCUAACUGUUACCAUUCCCAGGCUGAACCUGUAAGAUCAUUUACGUAUUUCAGAAUGAAUGAUAAGAUCUUUAGGGCCGAAAAUUGGAAUAACUUUGUUCCUUUCGUUAGAAAGAUGAGCACAAAUUGGUGAAGCACUUGAAAAACCCAACUUAACCAGUAAAUUUUACUGAAAAUAUCAAUGCCCUAGAAUUUUUUGUCAAGGGCCUAGAAUUGGUAAAGUAACAGUCUCAAUGCCCUAGAAUUUUUUGUCAAGGGCACGUGUAGAAGUUUGUAACUUCCUGAUAUAUUGACUGAAAUAACUUUGUAUUCCCAUGGCCGGUGUUCUUGACCUGUAAGUGUAAAUUUUUUAAACGGAUUUGGUUGGCAGUAGAAACUGAAUGCUUUGCUACCAAAAGAUGGGAAGAAUAAUUGGAAUUGCAAUUUUGGUA